GGGCUUCUAGUUUCAUUGGUUGAAACCUCAUAACGGUGAUAUUGUAGGUUCGAGGAGCCCUACUAAGCCUACCACCCCC
rnacentral:tRNA from 1 species